GCAAGUCGAACGGGUUAAGACCCAUGGCAGACGAGGUAGGAACACGUAGGUACAUACCCCAAAGUCAGGGAUAACCCGGAGAAAUCCGGAAUAAUACUUGAUAGUCUCGAAGAGUAAAGAUUUAUCGCUUUGGGAAUGGCCUGCGGGCUAUCAGCUUGUUGGUACGGUAACGGCGUACCAAGGCUAUGACGGCUAGGGGGGGUGAGAGCCUGACC
rnacentral:rRNA from 1 species